GAGUUAAUUGGUUUGAUGAGUA
rnacentral:siRNA from 1 species